AGCCAAUAGUCUUGCGGCUUAUGAUUAUAAUUCUUGUAAUUUUUUACGAAGUUUUUAUGGGUUGAAAUAUUGCCAAAUUUAUUUAGUCAAGAUCCCAUUUUUCCCUGUUGAUAAAUUUGGGGUUAAUGAAUUUGAGAAGCAGGUUUUAGUAUCGUUUUGAUUUUGAAUUUUUUUAAAAAUCAAAUUGAACAAUUCCAAUUCUUUGUUGAGGAAAUUUGCCAACAGUCUUGCGCCUUACGGUUUAAAUUAGUUUAUAAUUCUUUUGAUUUGUUUUGAAGGUUUUAUGGGAUUUAAGAGUCGCAUAAUUUAUUUAUUCAGGAGCCCUUUUCCUGUUUCACAAACUAUUUUAUUUUUCAUAAGUUUGAGACUUGCAUUUUAGUGCCGUUUCAAUUUUGAAUUUUUUGGUUAAAUUGACACUAUCUUUGAGCUGCAAUUCACAUCAAUCUGUCAAUUUUUUCUAUAUCUGAAUACAUUUUAAGGAGUAGGAUUUGUCAACUAAUUUUUGGGUACUGGGGUAUUAUGGGGAAUGGGUUGGUUAGUUUAGGGGAAUGGUUAGGCCAAGGUUUUGAGAAGAGUUAUUUGAAGAAGUAUGGGAAGAAAGAGCGUUGGUCUACAAUUUUGAGUCUUUGGCGUUCUUGCAGGGUUCUCUUUUUUCAUCUUCUCUAUUGAUCCUGCUUAAGUUUUACAGCUAUAGAUUUAUACCUUUAUUUUUUAUAGACUUGAUGCAAGAAGAUGUGAUGUGAAUGAUACUGCAUGAUUGAUGAUUCAGGUUCUUGAUUUAGGAUUUAUUGUUAGAUGUGAAAGUUUUUAUAAAUUGAUUUGUGGGGAAUAUCUUGAUGGGUUCUUGGUUAUUUGGUGAAAUAAGUGUUAAUUAUCUGUUUAUUUAUGUACUUCUAAAGCAAGUUGGUUGAAUUGAUGGAUGUAGUUGUGUACUAUUUUUUUGUUGAGUAAAUGUUCCAAAAAAAAAAAAUAAUCGUUCUUCCAGUUUACUUCUUAUCUGUUCGUGUAGAAUAUUUGCAUUUCCUUUAAUGAGUCUACAUUUUCUCUUUACAGGUAAUUUGCCUGAAGUUUAAUUUACCCUUUUUAUUUCUACGUGUAGUAUUCUAUUUUCAAGCUGGUGGAAUCAACGAACUUAAUUGUGCAUUUUUUCUUCGGGAAGUUAUGCAUGACAGUGUAAAAUAUAUUCUUUUGGGACCUGGAAUUUUGAAGAGAUUAUCACCUCUGUAUUCUACAGGUGUCACAGUUUGGAUUACGUGGAUGAACAACAUUGACAUAGAUAUGAUGUUAAUUAAUAUUACUUAACAGAGUCACUAUUUGAUAGAUGUUUUCUUAUCUCAAACGCUACAUACUUAUUCAUCAAUUCUUGCAGAUGAACCCAGAGAUGAUUAGCAUUUUGGAAUAAUCUGGCUUGAAAUUUGUCGGGAAGUAUGAAAGUGGGAAGCUAAUGGAGUUACAUCUUGAGGUCUCAUGAUGCUGAAUUCUUCCUCUUUGCAUCUAAUCAUUCCUAUUUCUGCAAAUUUUGAAGCUUCCGGGCCGUCUUUUUAGGUAGGGGUGCAUUUUCAUCCAGAAUUCAAGUUUGUCUUGGGAGAUCCUCAACUCUUUUUCUAGGAAGAACUCCAGUUUGCACUAUGCAGAGCUCCUUAAUUCAAAAAAUGAAAUGUACAGGGUUAGAGUUGAAUAAGUUUGAUCAACGUCAGAAAUUCGUGGGCCUUCCGACGAGUGAUGAGUUGCAGAAACAAGAUAUUCCAAAGAAGUUUAUGGCUGAGCACCUGAAAUGGACUUCUUGAGGGCAAACUUUAAUUAACCAGGAUGAUAAUGCUUAUUGGAUCCUUGCUAUCUUUAUAGGAUGUGUUCCAUUUUUGAAGAUAUUAAUCUUCACAUCAGAUGCUCCGCGCUAUUUUUUCAUUGAUAGAUGCUUGAUUCUAGGGUAUGUUCAGUUCCUUCCCAGAAUGAGUUAUAUUUAAUUUGCUUUGUGUUUUUAUGGUUCUCCAAUUGCGUAUCACAAUGCACUUUUGAGCUUCAUUUGGAUUAGGUAUGCAAUAGUAGACAUGAUUGGAACAAUUCUGUAAAUUAGAUUUUAGCCUUUUCUUCUAUAAUAAUGAUCCAUGGUGUCCAAUCUGUACUACCAUAUAUGUACUAGCAUAUAGCAUUGCUGUUCCCAUUUUUUUGUGUA